rnacentral:piRNA from 1 species
UAGUGAUCGAGAUGUAGCAAACCUGGGUUA